rnacentral:rRNA from 1 species
AACGAACGCUGGCGGCGUGCCUAACACAUGCAAGUCGUGGGAGAAAGUGACCUUCGGGUCGCGAGUAAACCGGCGCACGGGUGAGUAACACGUAGGUAACGUACCAUCGAACCUGGGAUAACCAGUCGAAAGAUUGGCUAAUACCGGAUACGACCGCGAGGACUUCGGCCCUUUCGGUGAAAGGCGGCCUCUGCUUGCAAGCUGUCAUUCGAUGCGCGGCCUGCGCACCAUUAGCAGUUGGUGAGGUAACGGCUCACCAAGGCUGAGAUGGUUAGCUGGUCUGAGAGGAUGGCCAGCCACACUGGGACUGAGACACGGCCCAGACUCCUACGGGAGGCAGCAGUGGGGAAUAUUGCGCAAUGGGCGAAAGCCUGACGCAGCGACGCCGCGUGGGUGAUGAAGGCCUUC